UACGUAGGUGACCAGCGUUGUCCGGAUUUACUGGGCGUAAAGAGCGCGCAGGCGGUCGUUCAAGUCGAGUGUGAAAGCCCCCGGCUCAACUGGGGAGGGUCACUUGAUACUGAUCGACUCGAAGGCAGGAGAGGGAAGCGGAAUUCCCGGUGUAGUGGUGAAAUGCGUAGAUAUCGGGAGGAACACCAGUGGCGAAGGCGGCUUCCUGGCCUGUUCUUGACGGCUGAGGCGCGAAAGCUAGGGGAGCAACGGGG
rnacentral:rRNA from 1 species